CUCGUAGCUGUUAAAUAGUAAAAAAGUUAUAAGAAAAUGUAGCAGAAUUUAUGCAAAAACAUCCAGAGUUGCAAAGUGGAAAGUUUUCUGCAACAUUUAUUUUUAAACAUGCGCAGAAAUUAUGAGAAAAAAUACAGACGAAUUACAUCAUAUACCUAGUGCAGUAAAAGAUUGGAAACAACAAUAGGGGAAGACAUAUGAAGUUCUAUUAAAGCCAAAAAUACUAUGAUUGAUGAUGAGAAGCAUGAAAAACAAAUUGGUGAAGGACCUACAUUAAAUCAGAUUUUAACAGAAAUGGAUCAAAAUGUCUUAGCACUUAUAGGUUCAAUAGUCGCGGAAGGAUAUAAUGCAGGAAUCUAACAUGCAAUUUGUAUGCCUGAAAAGAAUGACCCAUCAGAAGAAAGUUUAAGCAAUGACAAUAUUGCACUAAUAACAUAAAAAAAUCUUCAACAAACAUAAAAACAACACGUAGAAACACCAACUAUUGCAACUGUCAACACAUCACACAUUUCUGUAAUCCUGACUUUAAAUUCGGUGUCAAUGAAAAAAGAUGUUAAAAGAACUUCUGCUGUACAAAGCUAUGAUAAAUCAAUAGGACAGAUUGAAAAGUUGAUUAGAAUUUUGCAGAAAGGUAACGAGAUACGACAAUCAUAUUAUGUAAACAAAUUAAAACUUUAUAAGAUAGAAUUAGAUUAAAAAAAAGAGAUA
rnacentral:lncRNA from 1 species